AGCGAACGCUGGCGGCAGGCCUAACACAUGCAAGUCGAACGAACCUUUCGGGGUUAGUGGCGCAUUGGUGAGUAACGCGUGACAGCGUGCUUUUAUGUUCGGAAUUACCUAGGGAAACUUGUGAACAUCUCGAAUGUGUCCUUCGGGGGAAAGAUUUAGCGCCUCUAGAACGGCCCGCAUCUGGUUAGCUAGUUGGUCGAGGUUAUGCCUCACCAAGGAGACGAUCGGUAGAUGGUCUGUGAGGCUGGUCAGCCACAUUGGGACUGAGACACAGCCCGAACUCCUACGGGAGGCAGCAGUGGCGAAUCUAGCGCAAUGGGCGAAAGGCUGACGCAGCCAUGCCGCGUGAAUGAUGAAGGUCUGAGGAUUGGAAGAUUCUUUCACCGGGGUCGAUAUUGACGGUACCCGGAGAAGAAGCCCCGGCUAACUUCGUG
rnacentral:rRNA from 1 species